GACGAACGCUGGCGGCGUGCUUAACACAUGCAAGUCGAACGAUGAAGCCUUUCGGGGUGGAUUAGUGGCGAACGGGUGAGUAACACGUGGGCAAUCUGCCCUGUACUUUGGGAUAAGCCUUGGAAACGGGGUCUAAUACCGGAUAUCACUUACCUCCGCAUGGGGGUUUGUCGAAAGUUCUGGCGGUACAGGAUGAGCCCGCGGCCUAUCAGCUUGUUGGUGGGGUAGUGGCCUACAGAC
rnacentral:rRNA from 1 species